AGAGUUUGAUCAUGGCUCAGGAUGAACGCUGGCGGCGUGCUUAACACAUGCAAGUCGAACGGUGAAACAGGAGCUUGCUCCUGUGGAUCAGUGGCGAACGGGUGAGUAACACGUGAGCAAUCUGCCCUGGACUCUGGGAUAAGCGUUGGAAACGACGUCUAAUACCGGAUACGAGACGCGAAGGCAUCUUCAGCGUCUGGAAAGAACUUCGGUCCAGGAUGAGCUCGCGGCCUAUCAGCUAGUUGGUGAGGUAACGGCCCACCAAGGCGACGACGGGUAGCCGGCCUGAGAGGGUGACCGGCCACACUGGGACUGAGACACGGCCCAGACUCCUACGGGAGGCAGCAGUGGGGAAUAUUGCACAAUGGGCGCAAGCCUGAUGCAGCAACGCCGCGUGAGGGACGACGGCCUUCGGGUUGUAAACCUCUUUUAGCAGGGAAGAAGCGAAAGUGACGGUACCUGCAGAAAAAGCACCGGCUAACUACGUGCCAGCAGCCGCGGUAAUACGUAGGGUGCAAGCGUUAUCCGGAAUUAUUGGGCGUAAAGAGCUCGUAGGCGGUCUGUCGCGUCUGCUGUGAAAACCGGAGGCUCAACCUCCGGCCUGCAGUGGGUACGGGCAGACUAGAGUGCGGUAGGGGAGAUUGGAAUUCCUGGUGUAGCGGUGGAAUGCGCAGAUAUCAGGAGGAACACCGAUGGCGAAGGCAGAUCUCUGGGCCGUAACUGACGCUGAGGAGCGAAAGCGUGGGGAGCGAACAGGAUUAGAUACCCUAGUAGUCC
rnacentral:rRNA from 1 species